rnacentral:rRNA from 1 species
GUCCACGCCGUAAACGAUGAGUGCUGGAUGUCGGGAGGUUUACCUCUCGGUGUCGGAGCUAACGCGUUAAGCACUCCGCCUGGGGAGUACGGCCGCAAGGUUAAAACUCAAAGGAAUUGACGGGGGCCCGCACAAGCGGUGGAGCAUGUGGUUCAAUUCGACGCAACGCGCAGAACCUUACCAGCCCUUGACAUGGGACGUUUGAGCCGUGGAGACACGGUUCUUCAUUUAGUUGGCGUCCACACAGGUGCUGCAUGGCUGUCGU